GCAGAGUAGAACAGAGUGAGGCAAGAGAAGGGUGAGUGAAGAGCGGUGGUAGUUGUGAAUGAAGUGCUAGAAGUUCAAUGACGUUACACAAAUGGUCAAGGUUAGCGGAUGCAUCUUCAAAUGCCAUAUCCUGUCAAAGGAAAAGGUGGAAAGCAACUGGAAGCACUUUACAAAGGAUGUGAAGGCAUUAGAGAGGGUGCAGGUUCAGCCUUAACUUAGAUAUAUUGACCAAUUCAGGACACCACACAUCAGGAAAGGAUGUGAAGUUAUUGGCGAGGGUACUGAAAAGAUUUACAAGAAUGGUUCUAGGGAUGAGAGACUUCAGUUACGA